GACGAACGCUGGCGGCGUGCUUAACACAUGCAAGUCGAACGGGCCCGCUCUCUUUUUUGGGGGUGGGUUGAGUGGCGAACGGGUGAGUAUCACGUGAGUAACCUGCCCCCUGCUCCUGGAUAACUGCUUGAAAGGGCGGCUAAUACGGGGUGUGCCGGCUGGUCCGCAUGGGCCUGGUCGGGAUAGUUUCAUCUUCGGGUGUUUCGGUGGGGGAUGGGCUCGCGGCCUAUCAGCUUGUUGGUGGGGUGAUGGCCCACCAAGGCGGUGACGGGUAGCCGGCCUGAGAGGGUGGGCGGCCACACUGGGACUGAGACACGGCCCAGACUCCUGCGGGAGGCAGCAGUGGGGGGUAUUGCACAAUGGGCGGAAGCCUGACGCAGCGACGUCGCGUGAGGGAUGGAGGCCUUCGGGUUGUGAACCUCUUUCUCCGGUGGUGAAGGCCCUGUCCGUUGCGGCGGGGUUGACGGUAGCCGGGUAUGAAGCGCCGGCUAACUACGUG
rnacentral:rRNA from 1 species